GACGAACGCUGGCGGCGUGCUUAACACGUGCAAGUCGAACGGAAAGGCCCUGCUUUUGUGGGGUGCUCGAGUGGCGAACGGGUGAGUAACACGUGAGUAACCUGCCCUUGACUUUGGGAUAACUUCAGGAAACUGGGGCUAAUACCGGAUAGGAGCUCCUGCUGCAUGGUGGGGGUUGGAAAGUUUCGGCGGUUGGGGAUGGACUCGCGGCUUAUCAGCUUGUUGGUGGGGUAGUGGCUUACCAAGGCUUUGACGGGUAGCCGGCCUGAGAGGGUGACCGGCCACAUUGGGACUGAGAUACGGCCCAGACUCCUACGGGAGGCAGCAGUGGGGAAUAUUGCACAAUGGGCGGAAGCCUGAUGCAGCAACGCCGCGUGCGGGAUGACGGCCUUCGGGUUGUAAACCGCUUUCGCCUAUGACGAAGCGUGAGUGACGGUAAUGGGUAAAGAAGCACCGGCUAACUACGUG
rnacentral:rRNA from 1 species